rnacentral:lncRNA from 1 species
UGCCAUCUUUAUGUUCAGCCGUCUGGCCACAGUCCUCCAGGAGCUCUCUGGAGAGGAGGGCCCAGAUGGAGACCCACAGGGCAUGCUGGUGCCUCAGCUCCCUGCCGGUGAGGACCAGGCUCCAGUGGAGUCUGAGGCUCCUGAGGAGGCGAUGGAGAGACUGGCUCACCUGGAACAACUGGUGGUCCAGCUGAAGGAGCUCAUCCGAGACAAAGACACCCAGCUCAUCCAAAAGGACACUGAACUGUCUAACAAAGAUGCACGGCUCAAGAAUGAGAAAGAUGAAGCUGAGGCUCGCUUCACCAAACUCAAACUGCAGGCCAAAGCCAAGAUGGCUUCACUCAACAAACAGAUAACUGAGUUGAAAGGACAUGGAGGACCAACAGUAAGUUUAAAUCGGAUGAAAUAGUCUGUGUUGUGCUUGUAGGAUUAUAACAAAUCUA